UUUCGGAAAAAAAGCGACUUUCCACCGGAACAUUUAGGAUCGGCAGCUAUUUCUAAAAAUUUAUCAAGGAUCAGUUACCACAGCGAUUCCAUCAACAUCGCGUGAAAAAAACUGGAUAAAAUCGGCGAUUUAAUCGGAAUUUCGGACGAAGUAGCCGUUAUAAUGACUUGUACAAUUGAUGUUCAUCAUAUUUUUGAGGUUAGAUCAUCAUUUUCAUUUAUGCAAGGAAUUUUUGUACAAACAAUUGAUAAAUAAAAUCCAUCGUGUGUUGGGUUGAUUUUGCGGCGACUUGUCUUAACUAUUCCACUUUGAUUAUGGGCUGAUACCAAGGAU